rnacentral:lncRNA from 1 species
GAUAACAUCACGUUACUCCAUGAACAAAAUGCAAUUUAAAAUUUAUACAAAUAAUUAUAAAAAAAAAAAAAGUAGAUUUUACUUCAAAAUAUACAAAUUAACUUUUCUUACGUAUAAUUAAUAAGAGCUCAAUUUUAGUUCCAACAAUAAAAUUCGCAUCAUUGGGCCCCCAGAAAAAUAUUAGACUACAAUUGGUGGGGUGCGCCAGGCCCAUGCUAUAGUGCAAGACAUGGACGACGCUCGACGGCCCGAGCAGCAAGCUACCCAUUGGACCUUCCCCCUUAAAAAAUUAAUUUAAUAUCGUGUGGGCCAAUGGCCCACAUAUCAGAUAUUAAACUGAUAAGAACAGAUACUACACUUGAUCUUAGCCAAAAGGCCGAGAAAGGUAUGCUUUUAAUUUUAUUGGCCCGUCCAAUUUAUAGCUUCCUUCUGCAACUUUGUUUAAUUUGACUGCCGAUGUGGGAUGUGAAAUGGAAAAGCCUUUCCAGUUUAAACUCCUCUUCCUCUUCUUCCACCUUCAG